rnacentral:rRNA from 1 species
AGCGAACGCUGGCGGCAGGCCUAACACAUGCAAGUCGAACGAACUCUUCGGAGUUAGUGGCGGACGGGUGAGUAACACGUGGGAACGUGCCUUUAGGUUCGGAAUAACUCAGGGAAACUUGAGCUAAUACCGGAUGUGCCCUUCGGGGGAAAGAUGUAUCGCCUUUAGAGCGGCCCGCGUCUGAUUCGCUGGUUGGUGAGGUAAAGGCUCACCAAGGCGACGAUCAGUAGCUGGUCUGAGAGGAUGAUCAGCCACAUUGGCAAUGAGACACGGCCCAAACUCCUACGGGAGGCAGCAGUGGGGAAUCUUGCGCAAUGGGCGAAAGCCUGACGCAGCCAUGCCGGGUGAAUGAUGAAGGGCUUAGGAUUGUAAAAUUCUUUCACCGGGGACGAUAAUGACGGUACCCGGAGAAGAAGCCCCGGCUAACUUCGUG